CAGCCGCCACGGUAAAACGGAGGGGGCUGGCGUUGUUCGGAAUUACUGGGCGUAAAGCGCACGUAGGCGGCUUGGUAAGUUAGAGGUGAAAGCCCGGAGCUCAACUCCGGAAUUGCCUUUAAGACUGCCGAGCUAGUAGGUGAGAGAGGUAAGUGGAAUUCCGAGUGUAGAGGUGAAAUUCGUAGAUAUUCGGAAGAACACCAGUGGCGAAGGCGGCUUACUGGCUCAUUCUAGACGCUGAGGUGCGAAAGCGUGGGGAGCAAACAGGAUUAGAUACCCGCGUAGUCCCUGUCUCUUAUAC
rnacentral:rRNA from 1 species